GUGGAUUAGAUACCCUGGUAGUCCACGCAGUAAACGAUGCAGACUAGGCGUGGGAGGACUUGACCCCUUCCGUGCCGGAGCUAACGCGAUAAGUCUGCCGCCUGGGGAGUACGGUCGCAAGACUAAAACUCAAAGGAAUUGACGGGGGCCCGCACAAGCGGCGGAGCGUGUUCUUUAAUUCGUCGCAACGCGAAGAACCUUACCAGGGUUUGACAUAUCGCUGCAUGCCCGAGAGAUCGGGAGGCCUACGAGGGUGCGAUACAGGUGCUGCACGGCUGUCGCCAACU
rnacentral:rRNA from 1 species